rnacentral:rRNA from 1 species
CGCACGGGUGAGUAACACGUAUGCAACCUGGCCGCCACAGGGGGAUAACCCGCGGAAACGCGGCCUAAUACCCCGUGACGCCACCGGAGGGCAUCCUCCGGUGGCCAAAGGAGCGAUCCGGUGGCGGAUGGGCAUGCGGCGCAUUAGCUAGACGGCGGGGUGACGGCCCACCGUGGCGACGAUGCGUAGGGGUUCUGAGAGGAAGGCCCCCCACACUGGGACUGAGACACGGCCCAGACUCCUACGGAAGGCAGCAG